rnacentral:rRNA from 1 species
AGAGUUUGAUCCUGGCUCAGAUUGAACGCUGGCGGCAUGCCUUACACAUGCAAGUCGAACGGCAGCAUGAUCUAGCUUGCUAGAUUGAUGGCGAGUGGCGAACGGGUGAGUAAUACAUCGGAACGUGCCCUGUAGUGGGGGAUAACUAGUCGAAAGAUUAGCUAAUACCGCAUACGACCUGAGGGUGAAAGUGGGGGACCGCAAGGCCUCAUGCUAUAGGAGCGGCCGAUGUCUGAUUAGCUAGUUGGUGAGGUAAAGGCUCACCAAGGCGACGAUCAGUAGCUGGUCUGAGAGGACGAUCAGCCACACUGGGACUGAGACACGGCCCAGACUCCUACGGGAGGCAGCAGUGGGGAAUUUUGGACAAUGGGCGAAAGCCUGAUCCAGCAAUGCCGCGUGUGUGAAGAAGGCCUUCGGGUUGUAAAGCACUUUUGUCCGGAAAGAAAUGGCUCUGGUUAAUACCUGGGGUCGAUGACGGUACCGGAAGAAUAAGGACCGGCUAGCUACGUGCCAGCAGCCGCGGUAAUACGUAGGGUCCAAGCGUUAAUCGGAAUUACUGGGCGUAAAGCGUGCGCAGGCGGUUGUGCAAGACCGAUGUGAAAUCCCCGAGCUUAACUUGGGAAUUGCAUUGGUGACUGCACGGCUAGAGUGUGUCAGAGGGGGGUAGAAUUCCACGUGUAGCAGUGAAAUGCGUAGAGAUGUGGAGGAAUACCGAUGGCGAAGGCAGCCCCCUGGGAUAACACUGACGCUCAUGCACGAAAGCGUGGGGAGCAAACAGGAUUAGAUACCCUGGUAGUCCACGCCCUAAACGAUGUCAACUAGUUGUUGGGGAUUCAUUUCCUUAGUAACGUAGCUAACGCGUGAAGUUGACCGCCUGGGGAGUACGGUCGCAAGAUUAAAACUCAAAUGAAUUGACGG